rnacentral:rRNA from 1 species
UACGGAGGGGGCGAGCGUUAUUCGGAAUUAUUGGGCGUAAAGGGCGCGUAGGCGGCUGGGCAAGUCAAAUGUGAAAUCCCUCGGCUCAACUGAGGAACUGCCUUUGAAACUGCCUGGCUUGAGGCCGGGAGGGGGUAGCGGAAUUCCCAGUGUAGCGGUGAAAUGCGUAGAUAUUGGGAGGAACACCAGUGGCGAAGGCGGCUACCUGGACCGGUUCUGACGCUGAGGUGCGAAAGCGUGGGGAGCAAACAGG